AAUUAUUUGAAUCAUUUCUGUUUUGAUUGGGAAUUUUCUUUCUUAAUGAUCAAAUGCAUGCCUUGAAUUGGUCUUUGAUUUCUCUUGCACAUAAAAUGAACUUGCUUGAUGAUUAUGAUUUGGUUCUUUUUAGGACUUGUUCUUGAUUGAUUAAAUAUGAUUCAUGUUGAGUUUGAGCUUCUGUUUUGGAUUUUUGAUUCACUUUUGACCCUAGGCUUUGACCUAGUGGUUUGU
rnacentral:lncRNA from 1 species